ACCAAUGGGAAUGCAGAAACAGAUGGAUGGGGCAGAGAUCCUUGGGUAUAAUGACUAAUUAAGCAUGAUCUUUAAGUAGAGGUUGCAGGAAGUUUGGGGAGUUGAUUGGUAGGACUGAGUAGAAAGCAGAAGUAACACAGGAGGUGGAGGUAAAGAGAAGAGAAAUUAAGAAGGAAAAGUCUCAUCAAAUGACAUAUUUAAAGAUAAUUAAAUACAGAAAAGAUGAAGUGCCCUGGGGGCCAGAGUCCAGACAAGUAUUUUGGCACCUCCAAGGACUGGCAGAACACAGAGAGGAAAAGAGAGACCCUGUUAUCUUUCCGCAGGGGUGGCCGUUCAAACUCUCAGAGAUGGAAGUUAAGAUUUCCUUUGGUAUAAGUGGCAGUUUGACUGGCUGCAAGGAGAGCCUCAGUUUGUUUAAUUUGGAGUAAAAUUUUAUGAGUUAAUCUCUAGUGAGGGAAAGCAGCAGUAAA
rnacentral:lncRNA from 1 species